ACAAAUCAAUGACGAAACAGUUAAACCAUAUAUCAUGCGUUCAUUUAAAAACCUUGGCUCAGUUGACUGUGCUUUAAAUUUGAACUUGGGAACAGUGUAAUCGGAUCCGGAAAUAGUUGCCGGCAGUCAUUUAUGGAAUGUCAAAAAGUUUUGAGGUUAGGUAUUUUUCCACCCUUGUAAUCUCGUUUUACUCGUUACUUGUUUUGCUUUGCAUUUAGUCUUAUUUCAUCGUAUUUUUCUCUCUGUUCAACGUUUUCAGAACUCCAUAAUUGUGUGUGAGUGCACAAUUUUUUGUGGUUUGACUGCAUUGUGCGAAUUUUGCAUUUUAUUAUGCUUUAGUUCGUUGUUCGAGUGUUAAUCAUGUUUUUUUCAUAACAACAUAAAAUGUUUAUGUUGGAAUCGUACUGCCCCAACGGAUGAAAAAAGAUAUUUGCAUCGAAGGUCUAAAAGUGGCAGCAAAAUGAAAUCACCUAAAUUUUUAAAUUUUUUUUUUUUUUCUACUUUUUGAAAUUAUGGCUGCCUUGGGUCACUGCACGCAUUUCUGUGCUUGAUUUAACUUUCAGCAGGUUUUUGAGUGAAAUCAAAGAAAUUUUCGUUUGGCAAUAUUGACAUUUCGUAAUGGGAGUGGCCCCGUCGACUGUCAAAAUUCUACGCUGGAAAAUUAAAAAACAAAAGAAGAUUCCACAGUCUCCUGAGCCAAGGUUUUUAUUUGAACGCUCAAUAGUUACGCUCAAGUUGCUAUGUUGCGAGGUUUAUUUUCAAACUGGAAGCAACCCAUUUUUUAUGAUUUCGACCGCAAGAUGGACAAGGACUACUUACUUAACAUAAUAAAUUAUGUUGAACAGUCAGCUUUAAUAUUGUGGGCAUGGUUAGCGAUCUUGGUGGAGGAAAUAGAUCACUUCAUAAAGAGUUAGAAGUGUCACUAGAAAAAAACGUGGUUCAAAAACCCUUACAAUGAACACAAAAUAUACGUUUUUGCUGAUGUCCCGCAUCUUAUUAAACUUCUUCGCAAUCAUUUUGUUGAUAGCGGUUUAAUUCUGAACAAUACAGAAAUUAAUAAGACAGUGAUUGAGGAACUUCUGGAAGGGACUAGUGCAUCUGAUUUGACUAUUGCUCACAAAAUUUCAAAGGAAAAUCUAUAUGUCAAAAGUGCUGGGAGACAGAAAGUGAAGCCUGCUACUAAACUGUUUUCUCACACUGUUUCUAAGGCCAUUUCAAGGUGUGGCAUGAAUGGUCAGUUAAAGUCUGAAAACUGGAUGGAAUGCGCAGAAUUUUUUAAAUUAGUAAACGACUGGUUUGAUUGUCUGAAUGUGCGCGUCCCAGAAGCAGAUUCUCGCAAAUGAAUGAAAGCUUAUGGAUUAUCCCUUGAAGUCCAAAAUGAUAUUAUCAGCCAAAUGACUUCUGUGGUUAAAAAUCUUCUAGUAAAAGGGAAAAAAUCCCUUUUGCCUUUUCAAAACGGAAUCAUAAUUACUAACACAUCGCUACCGCUUCUUUAUGAAGAUCUUGUGGCAAGAUUUGACACAAAAUUUAUUUUAACGUACCGCCUUAACCAAGACGUGUUGGAAAAUUUUUUCGGGGCUAUAAGAGCCAAAGGAGGUCUUCAUGAUCAUCCCGAUCCCAUCGAGUUCAGAUAUCGUCUGCGAUCUUAUAUUUUAGGCAGGAACGAAGGAUCUCUUUCGGCAUAUGGAAACGUUGAAGAAAACAAUACGCCUUAAAUUCAGAUGAAGUAAAUCUAAGUGGGCAGUGUUUUGCGCGUCUCAUGGAAAAGGAAACAGACAUUGAACAAGAAAUACAUCUUGAUUUUACUGAACUUGAAGACGUUGUGUAUGAUGGUUUGGAACAUCUUGCGGGGUUCACAAAAAGUUAAUGAACCAGGCUGUUUACUUGCAAGUUCUAGUGAGGCGUCUUUUUCUAGGGUUAACCAUCUAAAUGAAGGUGGUUUAACUAAACUAUCACCAGAAUUUAUGGUUCAAAUGGAACAGUUGGAGGCUAUUUUUAAUAAUGUUAAUUCAGAUAGCAUUCUAAUUACAAAAGAUUACUUAAAGAAUUUGUUAAUGGAGAGUUCAAAUGUUACCUGCAGUCAGAAAUCAAAAGAAUUAUUUUUUUGAAGUAGGAUGUUUUUCAGAAUGCGACAUUUAAACAAAGAGUUAACAAACUGUACUUUAAAAACGCAAAGAAAGUUAAACAAAACAAUUAAUUAAAACACAAAGGUUGUUUUUUUUUUUUCAUAAUAAACUAUAGGAGUACAUGUUACUACAAUUUUCUAUGUUUUUUCUACUUACUAAUUUGCUCAGAGAACAAUUAUAUUUGGUUUAUUUUAAAUUUGCGCUAUCGGCUACUAACCACAUGACGUAAUGCGCAGAACUCGACAAGAUUGAAACCGGCUAGUGUCAUAUCUUCUAAGUUAUUGUAUCAUGCUCGAGUAACAAGUACAGUCGUUAAGGCUUCAGGGUACCGAAGCGAUUGUUGAGAAUUGGUGUACUACAAGUUGCAUACUUUUUUUAGACCUGUUUUCAGUGACAGCUGUCAAUCAUCGGAUAGGCAUCCGACCUUCGCCUCGGGGUGUCUUGUCCCUUCUCAUAAAAUGCAAAUAAUGUAAACAAACUGAAUUCCACUAUCGCCCACGAUAGUUUCUCUUAUUUCAGAGAUUCAAGCAACAUACAGUGAAAAAUACGUUUUUUAUUUUGUUAAAAAAAUUUGAUACUAAAGAAUAAUAAAAUACUAGCAUAGUUUUGUAAAAAAUAAUACACCAUUACACCAUUUAUUUAUUGGGUUUUAUGUUUUAAUUAACCGAAUUCUGUUCGCUAUAUUAUGUGUCAUGUGCAUUUCUAAUUGGAUCACUUGCAUUGAAAAAAUAUAAAAUAAAAAAAUUAAUUGGUGAAACAUUAUUGUUCUUUCAGAAAACAGUUUAACUUUAAAGAAGUUACUAGGAAUAUCUCAUUAAAAUGAUGAAAACUUCUUUAAACCCGCUUUUUCGUCUGAUAAUUUUAUCCAGGUAAUAAAUUCUGAAAAAUACAUUGUUGUAAAAAUUUAUUGUAACUAUACCCAGUAAUAAUUAUAGUACAAAUAACGUAUCGAGAGAUUGUAAGAUCCAGUCUUAGGGAUAUAAUUUGUUUACGUUACGCCUAGUAAAAUAAAUGAUACUUUUAUAA